rnacentral:rRNA from 1 species
GACGAAGGGGGCUAGCGUUGUUCGGAAUUACUGGGCGUAAAGCGCGUGUAGGCGGUUUGCCAAGUCGGGUGUGAAAGCCUUGGGCUUAACCCAAGAAAUGCACUCGGUACUGGCAGACUAGAGGACCGGAGAGGAUAGUGGAAUUCCCAGUGUAGUGGUGAAAUACGUAGAGAUUGGGAAGAACACCAGUGGCGAAGGCGGCUAUCUGGACGGUUUCUGACGCGUAAGACGCGAAAGCGUGGGGAGCAAACAGG